rnacentral:ncRNA from 1 species
CAGCCUUUUUAUUGACUCAUAGUAAACUUACACAUGCAAGCAUCCCCGCCCCAGUGAGAAUGCCCUCUAUAUCAAAUCAACUGAUCAAAAGGAGCAGGUAUUAAGUUCACUAAUCCUAAGUAGCUCACAACGCCUUGCUAAACCACACCCCCACGGGACACAGCAGUGAUUAAAAUUAAGCCUAUAAACGAAAGUUUGACUAAGUUAUACUAUUUAGAGGGUUGGUAAAUUUCGUGCCAGCCACCGCGGUCAUACGAUUAACCCUAGUCAAUAAAACACGGCGUAAAGCGUGGUUAAGAAAUACGCACAAAUAAGACUAAGCUUAAACUAAGCCGUAAAAAGCCCUAGUUAUAAUAAAAAUAUUGUACGAAAGUAGCCUUAAUAUCUCUGAACCCACGAUAGCUAAGACCCAAACUGGGAUUAGAUACCCCACUAUGCUUAGCCCUAAACAUAAAUAUUUAAUUAACAAAAAUAUUCGCCAGAGUACUACUAGCCAUCGCUUAAAACUCAAAGGACUUGGCGGUGCUUUACAUCCCUCUAGAGGAGCCUGUUCUAUAAUCGAUAAACCCCGAUAAACCUCACCACCCUUUGCAAUAUCAGCCUAUAUACCGCCAUCUUCAGCAAACCCUAACAAGGUCUUACAGUAAGCACAAUAAUAGUACAUAAAAACGUUAGGUCAAGGUGUAGCUUAUGGGGUGGAAAGAAAUGGGCUACAUUUUCUAUCCCCCUAGAACAAUUACAACGAUAGCUUUUAUGAAACUAUAGAAAGCUCAAGGCGGAUUUAGUAGUAAGCUAAGAAUAGAGAGCUUAGCUGAAUUGGGCAAUAAAGCAC